CACGAAGGGGACUAGCGUUGUUCGGAAUCACUGGGCGUAAAGCGCACGUAGGCGGAUUUGUAAGUCAGGGGUGAAAUCCCGGGGCUCAACCUCGGGACUGCCUUUGAUACUGCGAAUCUCGAGUCCGAUAGAGGUGGGUGGAAUUCCUAGUGUAGAGGUGAAAUUCGUAGAUAUUAGGAAGAACACCGGUGGCGAAGGCGGCCCACUGGAUCGGUACUGACGCUGAGACGCGAAAGCGUGGGGAGCAAACAGG
rnacentral:rRNA from 1 species